rnacentral:tRNA from 1 species
GCGGCCGUAGCUCAAAGGUAGAGCACCGUCUUGCCAUGGCGGAGGUUGCGCGUUCGAGUCGCGUCGGCCGCU